UUGCUGUGAGAGCUAAGUCAGCCACGGGAGGCUCUACAUCCAGGACAACAGGAUUCCAGCCCCAGCCACAUGAAGGAUGGAGAGGAGGCAAAAUAGGGGCUGAGAUGGCUGAAGCCUUGGGAUGGGAAGCCACAGGUCCCCUAUCCAGGGGAAUCGGGGACCCAGCUCCCUGGAAAAUCCGCAGCACACUUAAAUCAGGAGCAGAGGAGGAAACUCGAUAUCCUGAGGCUCCGAACACCCAGGAUAUAAACACCCUCCCUUUACAGGACCCUGCGUCAGCCUGCAGCUUCCGGGGCAUCCUGGGGACAGCUCGUCCAGCCCCGGGAGGAUGUUUCAUCUUACAAGGUGCAUGAAUGGACUCAGAGAGGUGACAGCAUUUCCCUGGAGUCAUUGGUGUGUCGUCACAGGAUGGAGUGCAGACUCUGUCAUGUGUGGCUGUAGCUGUCCUGAUUCUGAGGAGCCCUGUUCAUCUUCUUCUGCUUGACUUGUCAACCAAAAUAUCACACUUCUGCACACCGAGAACAGGUACAUGGUUCAGUACUGCGCUCAGUGUUAGGCAUCAGUUAGAUGCAGCCCUCAGGGGUCGGGGUGGUGUGGCUAUAAGGAGGGGCCCAUCCCUCAGAAUGGAGGCUGGCCUGGUGACUUGAUGUUAUACCCUGGGCAGCAAAGCUGUCUUCAGACUGCGGUGACUCUCCAGAAAAGAGGAAACGGUAACAAACUGUCAGUGUUUGCAAAGACACGGCUGCCUCCUACAAAGUCUAGAGUAAGUCAGAAUUCAGCACAUGAUCAAACAGGAAAUACUGGGGGGGAGGGGGAAGGGGAGCUCCUAUUCCAGUCACAGUGGUUCCUAAAGCUAGGAAGUGAUUAGUAACAAUGGAAGCUCUAUUCCCAACAAAGGGUCCAACCCAACACCGACAAAACCUUGAGUAGAGAAACACAGAGGGCUCUUGGACCAAGGAUCGGUUUUCCCCCCUGAGGAGUCCAUAAUUCAGUGCAAACAAGAUGCAAUGCAGUCCGCUGGCUCACUGCCCAAAACCCAGCUCCAGGUUCCACAGCACAGAAAGGGAGGCUGAUAGAUCUGAGGAGCUGCAGGAAGCUGUGAGACAGAAGUGAUCUCCUCCUGAAGUGUCACCCUGCAAGUCCUGUGAACCAAAAUGUGGAAGCCCCACCUCAGGUGCCCAGCUCAGCCUCUGAGUGUGAAUCAGCAGAAACAGAGGCCUCCUCAGUCCUCCACCCUCUGCAGCUCCCGGCUCCUCAGCACUGCUUUUUCCCCUCCAGAGUGCACAUUCCUGUGGAAGAACACGCUGCCUCGAGCGACACUGUACUGAGCAGGCACGUCCACUGGCAAGCACGUUCUCUCUGUGUAAUUCUUUCUACCCGGAACUCCACUAAAUAGACCAGGCUGGUCUUGAACUCACAGAGAUCCACUAUGCUCAGCCUCCUGAGUACUAGGAUUAAAGGUGUAUACCACCAUACUUGUAAUACACUAUACUUAAAAGUAAAGACAAUAUGAUAAACAGAAAAUGAAAGACUAGGAGGAUGGGCUGGCCCGAUAGAUCAGCAGAUGUGGGAUACUUACAUCUCUGGCUUGGCAGCCUAAACUCAAUUUCCAGAAUCCAGGUAAAGAAAAGAACUGAUUUCAUUGAGUUGUCCUCUGACCUCCACACACAGUGUCAAAAGCACCCCACCCCCAAGAUGUGCAUAUAAACUCAUUAAAAGUUUAUUUAUUGUUAUAUAUCAUUAUAUAAAAAGCUAUAUAAUGAAGGUUAAGAGACAACUUAAGCAAAAGACAGGCCAUCUUUGAAAGGUUCAAAACAGAAAGAAAUCUAGCAGUCUGGAUCCCAGAGAGAAAACUAAAGAAAUUGGGAGGUGGGGAGCAGGCAAACCAGGAGCAAAAAGUCUGAUGACUUCAAUGUCAGAGGAGAAAAGAUAAGGUUUAGAGCAAAUCUGUUGUAAGGGACAAAAAUGAGUCAUUUUAGUUGCAAAAAAAGAACAAUGAGUGGAGAAUUCAUCUUGUUAAUAGCGAGCUUAAGUUCCCAAGCAGAGCUGUGGGAUGCCGGGCAGCUGAGGAACGGGGAGGAAAAUGGGGAACGCCAAGGGUGUGCUGAAGAUUGCUGUUCAUCUCACAAGAGCCGAAGCUCCCACAGCAAACGGAAGCACCCUGUGCGGUGUUUAUAUUCAUGAGACUGUCCGUCUGACAGGCUCCGAGUGUCUUCCCUGAGCUCACAUGAGACUUCACAAGACCGCCCGUGUGUGAAGGCGCAGGGGAAGUCCGCCCGAAUUAAGCAGAGUCAGCAGGGCAGAAACCCACAUCUACCUCACGGGACCGAGUCAGAUCCACGAACGGGGGAGCUUUUCAAGCUUCCUCACCGGUCUGGAAAAGAUCGAAAGUUACAUUAGUGAAGACAGAACAUAAGGCGGAAAAUAAGCACUUGUGGAAAAGAUGAACGAGCUCAAACUAAACUGAGAUUACCAGCAAAUAUGAAUGUCGGAUGAGCAGAUAAAUCCCAGGCAAAAUUUAAAGCGGGAGCAGCAUAAAUUAGGAAACUGAAUUAUCAGUAACUAUUGAAGAAGUUGAGACAGUGGUCAAAGACCUAUUUUCCAGAUAUUUUGGGCUGAACGAGUUUAACCAAAUUCUCUAAGAAAGGGUCUAAACAACCCGUUACAUUGUUUCAGAAACUAAGGAAUGAGAAGCCUGUGGAGGGAAAGAGGGGGAAAUGGGAGAGGGAGGGGGUGUUUAUGAAGCAAGAAUAAAACGGAAAGCUCUCCACAUCACAUGGCUCAUGAAAAAAAGAGGCAGAGAAGAAUGGGUGGGGACUGAGAUGCGAAGUCUCCUUUUCAAUGGGUCUGGAAUUGGGAUUACCUAAGAGACCUACCUCUGGUUGAGUCUAUGAGGGUGUGUCCAGGGGGGUUUAACUGAGGAGGAAAGGUCCAGCCUAAAACAGCAUCAGCACCCUAUAGGCUGGGAUCCCAGGAUGAACUAAAAGGAAAAAUGGCGGAAGCCAGCUGAACAGCAACACACAUUUUUUUCUGCUUCCUGAGUAUGAAAGCAACGUGAUCAGCUGCCCCCACACUCCUGCUGCCACGAUUUCGCCGCCAUGAUGGACUGAACCCUCAAACCAUGAGUCAAAGUAAAACCUCUCUUGCUUAAGUUAAUUUUGUUAGGUAUUUUUUAAUUUGAUGUUUAAAAUUUUUAUGUGAGUGUUUUGUCUGCAUGUAUAUCUACACACUACGUGCAUGCCUGGUGCUUGCAGAGGCCAGAAGAGGGGGUCAGAUGCCCUAUGAUUAGAAUUACAGAGGUGGUGGUCCACCGUGUGAAUGCUAGCAAUCAAACCCAGGUUACUGUUGACUCAACUGCUGAGCUACCUCCCCAUCUCUUCCUAUUAGACGUAUGCAUUUAUGUGUAUAUAUGUUUAUGCACGUGCCAUGGAGAGCAGAGGACAGCUUGGGUCCUCUCCUUCUACCACAUGGGUCCUAGGGACUAAAGUCAUCAGGUUUGGUGGCCAAUCCCUUUAUCCACUGGUCCAUCUCACUAGCUAUUGUCAAGUGUCUCAUCCCAACAAAGAGAAAACAAACACAGUGUGUUGAAACCUCACGUACCUCAUGAUUUGAUUAAUAAAAUUGAGUAGGCUGA
rnacentral:sRNA from 1 species